UUGACCUCAAAUCAGGUAGGACUACCCGCUGAACUUAAGCAUAUCAAUAAGCGGAGGAAAAGAAACUAACAAGGAUUCCCCUAGUAACUGCGAGUGAAGCGGGAAAAGCUCAAAUUUAAAAUCUGGCAAUCCUCGUGGUUGUCCGAGUUGUAAUUUAGAGAAGUGCUAUCUGCGUUGGACCGUGUACAAGUCUCCUGGAACGGAGCGUCGUAGAGGGUGAGAAUCCCGUAUAUGACACGGACUACCAAGGCUUUGUGAUACGCUCUCAAAGAGUCGAGUUGUUUGGGAAUGCAGCUCAAAAUGGGUGGUAAAUUCCAUCUAAAGCUAAAUAUAGGCGAGAGACCGAUAGCGAACAAGUACCGUGAGGGAAAGAUGAAAAGAACUUUGGAAAGAGAGUUAAACAGUACGUGAAAUUGUUGAAAGGGAAACGCUUGAAGUCAGUCGCGUUGUCCAGGAAUCAACCUUGCAUUUUUUGCUGGGAGCACUUUCUGGUUGACGGGUCAGCAUCAAUUUUGAUUGUUGGAUAAAGGUUAAGGGAAUGUGGCAUCCUCGGAUGUGUUAUAGCCCUUGAUUCGCAUACAACAGUUAGAUUGAGGAACUCAGCA
rnacentral:rRNA from 1 species